rnacentral:rRNA from 1 species
GAUGAACGCUGGCGGCGUGCCUAAUACAUGCAAGUCGAGCGAACAGAUGAGGAGCUUACUCCUCUGACGUUAGCGGCAGACGGGUGAGUAACACGUGGAUAACCUACCUAUAAGACUGGGAUAACUUCGGGAAACCGGAGCUAAUACCGGAUAAUAUAUUGAACCGCAUGGUUCAAUAGUGAAAGACGGUUUUGCUGUCACUUAUAGAUGGAUCCGCGCCGCAUUAGCUAGUUGGUAAGGUAACGGCUUACCAAGGCAACGAUGCGUAGCCGACCUGAGAGGGUGAUCGGCCACACUGGAACUGAGACACGGUCCAGACUCCUACGGGAGGCAGCAAUAGGGAAUCUUCCGCAAUGGGCGAAAGCCUGACGGAGCAACGCCGCGUGAGUGAUGAAGGUCUUCGGAUCGUAAAACUCUGUUAUUAGGGAAGAACAAAUGUGUAAGUAACUAUGCACGUCUUGACGGUACCUAAUCAGAAAGCCACGGCUAACUACGUG